rnacentral:rRNA from 1 species
AGUGAACGCUGGCGGCAGGCCUAACACAUGCAAGUCGAACGGCAGCACAGUAAGAGCUUGCUCUUACGGGUGGCGAGUGGCGGACGGGUGAGGAAUACAUCGGAAUCUACUUUUUCGUGGGGGAUAACGUAGGGAAACUUACGCUAAUACCGCAUACGACCUACGGGUGAAAGCAGGGGAUCUUCGGACCUUGCGCGAUUGAAUGAGCCGAUGUCGGAUUAGCUAGUUGGCGGGGUAAAGGCCCAGCAAGGCGACGAUCCGUAGCUGGUCUGAGAGGAUGAUCAGCCACGCUGGACCUGAGACACGGUCCAGACUCCUACGGGAGGCAGCAGUGGGGAAUAUUGGACAAUGGGCGCAAGCCUGAUCCAGCCAUACCGCGUGGGUGAAGAAGGCCUUCGGGUUGUAAAGCCCUUUUGUUGGGAAAGAAAAGCAGCAGGUUAAUACCCCGCUGUUCUGACGGUACCCAAAGAAUAAGCACCGGCUAACUUCGU